UACUUCUCUGUGAACAAAACAUCGAAUUAGGGUUUUGAAAAUCGUCCACGAUGAUUCAAAAUUCCCAAAUCAACCUCCGUCAUCUGCUAUAUUACUGAUUCCUCAGCUUAUCGCCGCCGUCCACUACUCCGAUUUAGGUUUGGAUGCAUUGGCUGCUUUCCUCAGUUCCUUCACAUGCCAACUCCCAAUAAGCUAAGUUGGGACUUUAGCUGUUUAAAAGUGGAGAUCCCAUAAAUUGCUAUUUCAUGGAGGAUGAAAGUUUUUUUGUUGGCCAAGAGUUUCCUGACGUCAAGGCCUUGCGCAGUGCAAUUAAAGAUGCUGCUAUUGCACAACAUUUUGAGCUUCGCAUAGUAAAAAGUGACCUGAGUCGCUACUGUGCAAAAUGUGCCUCAGAUGGUUGUCCGUGGCGUAUUCGUGCAGUUAAGCUUCCCAAUGCCCCUACCUUUACUAUAAGAAGCCUUGAGGGAACACAUACCUGCGGAAAGAAUGCACAAAAUGGACGUCAGGCUUCUGUUGAUUGGAUAGUGAACUUCAUAGAGGAGCGCUUGCGUGACAACAUAAAUUACAAGCCAAAAGACAUUUUGCAUGAUAUUUAUAAGCAGUAUGGGAUAACUAUACCAUACAAACAAGCAUGGAGGGCAAAGGAACGAGGGCUGCAAGCUAUAUAUGGCUCUUCUGAAGAAGGAUACUGUCUAUUACCUACAUAUUGUGAACAAAUCAAGAAGACAAAUCCUGGAAGUUAUGCUGAGGUUUUUACAGCUGGUUCAGAGAGUCGGUUUCAGAGGUUCUUCAUUUCCUUUCAUGCUUCUCUUCAUGGGUUCGUGAAGGGUUGCUUGCCUGUUAUUUGUCUUGGUGGUGUCCAGCUUAAGAGCAAAUACUUAGGUACUUUAUUAUCCGCCACUUCUUUUGAUGCUGAUGGUGGAGUAUUUCCGCUUGCCUUUGGUGUUGUCGAUGAAGAAAAUGAUGAUAGCUGGAUGUGGUACUUGUUAGAGUUGCGCAAGGCAUUGGAGAUGAGCACUGAGAAGAUAUCACCUCUUACAUUUCUGUCUGAUGGACAAAAGAGUAUUGCAGAUGCUGUGAAGAGGACAUUUUCCUCUUCUUGUCAUGCAAUUUGUGUGCAGUAUCUGAGUGAAAGCAUCAGUAAAGAGUUCAAGAAUUCAAAGCUUGUUCAACUCCUCUGGAAAGCCGCAUAUUCUACGUCCACCACGGGGUUUAAAGAGAAAAUGGCUGAAAUUGAGGAGGUUUCUUCAGAUGCAGCGACGUGGCUUCAACAGUAUCCUCCUUCGUGCUGGGCUUUAAUACAUUUAGACGGAACAAGAUAUGGUCAUUUCUCUUCGAACAUUAAUGAGUUCAAUAAAUGGAUUCUUGAAGCGCGGGAGCUUCCUAUUAUUCAGGUGAUUAAACUGAUUCACAGUAAGUUAAUGGAGGAGUUCGAGCAGCGGCGGUCAAGGAGUAGUACAUGGAGUUCAAUUCUUGCUCCAUCUGCUGAGAAGCGCAUUAUGGAAGCAAGAACUCUUGCUGUCAAAUAUAAAGUGUUAAGGUCAGAUGAAGUUGAAUUUGAAGUUCUCUCAGCAGAGCGGUCAGACAUUGUGAAUAUAGGGACCCGAUCUUGUUCUUGCCGUGAUUGGCAGUUUUAUGGGAUGCCAUGUUCUCAUGCUGUUGCUGCUCUCUUAUCAUGUAAAAAGGAUGUGUAUGACUUCACAGAGAAAUAUUUCACUGCAGCUAGCUACCGCGAGAGUUAUAGUAAAGAGGUACACCCCAUCUCUGAUAAACUUGAAUGGUCGAGAGCCCGACUAGUGCGGCCACCCAAGUGUCGUCGACCACCUGGACGACCUGAAAAGAAGCGGUUAUGUGUGGAAGAUCAUAACCGUGAAAAGCAUACUGUCCGUUGUGGUAAGUGCAAUCAAACUGGACAUUACAAGACAACCUGCAAAGCGGAGGCUGUUUAGAGUACACAACAUUUUUAGAUGUGUAACCCCCCCUGGAGGACCAGUUUGGCGUACAGUUUAAAACUUGAUGGAUAAUGGAUCGGCCCCUCUAUCCUUCUUCAUUUAGGAGCAUGGAGCCCCUAGCUAUUGUUGCUUUCACAGGAGGAAUGAUUGGACAAAUAGGGAUUCUCCUUUUUUGGUGUCGACCUAUUUGCAAUUGCCUAUGGAGAUUUGUUGAUUGUCUCAGAAACCCAAGACCUCUGCCUCCUCAAGCUGAAAUUAACGCAAAGAUCUUUAAGGGUUUAAAAGAUCGAUUUUAUCCUUAAAAUGGACCAGAAAUGAAGUCAGUGGCAGUUCUCGGACAGGUUUUGUGCGGUCAACUGAACUUGUUGCUUUCGUCUGAAGUUAUCCACAUAUGCAAAAAAGAAAAAUUUUAACAUGUAUACAUAUAAUAAGAUUAUAGUGUUUCUAAAUACUGAGACUAGAUCAGUGGCGUCCGAAGGAUUUUAUGCAAGUGAUAUCGGCUUUUGUCACAAUUCGGCUUGUAAGUGUGUUACUAUGUGUUUAAGACUGUCACUUCAACGAUUUACUUCUAUGUCUAAAAUUAAUGUUUUAGUUUGUAAUACUCUCAAGU